AACGAACGCUGGCGGCAUGCCUAACACAUGCAAGUCGAACGAGACCUUCGGGUCUAGUGGCGCACGGGUGCGUAACGCGUGGGAACCUGCCCUUAGGUUCGGAAUAACUCCCCGAAAGGGGUGCUAAUACCGGAUAAUGUCUUCGGACCAAAGAUUUAUCGCCUUUGGAUGGGCCCGCGUUGGAUUAGCUAGUUGGUAGGGUAAAAGCCUACCAAGGCGACGAUCCAUAGCUGGUCUGCGAGGAUGAUCAGCCACACUGGGACUGAGACACGGCCCAGACUCCUACGGGAGGGAGCAGUGGGGAAUAUUGGACAAUGGGCGAAAGGCUGAUACCGCCAUGCCGCGUGAGGGAUGAAGGCCUUAGGGUUGUAAAGCUCUUUUACCCGGGAUGAUAAUGACAGUACCGGGAGAAUAAGCUCCGGCUAACUCCGUG
rnacentral:rRNA from 1 species